UGGGCCAACUAACUUGUAAUCGGCCUUGGGCAUGAAAAAUUGGACCAUGACUAUUGGGCCGGACUUGUAAGGUAGACCCAUAACUAUUGGGCCUAGGGCCUAACCUGGCCUCUACCAAACGCAGCCCAUUGCCAAGGCCUCAAUAGGCUCGCUGGGCCAUAUCGAGACCAGCCAACAGUCCACAUUCAGCACUCAUGCAAGCUCAGACGUCCCACACUGUCAAUAGGAUGGCACGUGUGGGAAUAGCAACCGCUCCUAAGGAACUGUACGGACCGCCCAAAACUAUAUAUAUUCAGAUGACUGGCAGCCAAGCUGCAACGCUUUUGGUGGGGGUUUGGAAAUGGCAAUGGCAGUAGGAGCAGCAUCACCAGCAACGACCUUGGCUUUCUUCGCUCGACAAAGCCCGAAGACGAAAUGGGCCUUGAUCUCUUUCUCUGCCUUCUCAGCCUCAUCCUCGCCGCCGUCACUGCAGCCAUCGAAGAAGGAGCUGGUUCUCUACACAAAGCCCGGAUGCUGUUUGUGCGAUGGCCUCAAAGAAAAACUCAAUGCUGCAUUCUCUUUGGGGGGCCCCGAUUCUCUCGUUGAAGUUCAGCUCCAGAUUAGGGAUAUUACUACUAAUUCCGAAUGGGAGAAUCGCUUCCAGUAUGAGAUUCCCGUGUUGGCAAGAGUACUCUCUGACGGCACUGAGAAAACUUGCUCCGCAUGUGAAGAGCAUUCAUGCUAGUACCUAUGGUGUGCCUGAAGUGAGUUCGUGCUGCUAAUUCAAAUAACUCUGUGGCAUAGGACAGUGAAGUUUGAAAUCCUUCCAAGAUUAUCACCUCGUUUGGGAGUCGAGCUCAUCCAAAAGAAAAUUGCAGCUGCAUUGAGGGAGUGAGAAAGUUGGUGAGUUCUCUGUAUUUAUUUUGUGUUUGACAUAAUCAAAUUGUGACUGAAAGAAAUAUCUUGUAUUUAAUGACUGUUUGCAACAUGGCUGUUUAUGGGAGUUCUAUCUAAAGGAUUAAAAAGAUGUUUUUUUUUUUUUUAUUUUUAUUUUUAAUGUUGGGUUUCUGUGAUUCCUUCA